GCAGACACAUUCCAGCCAAUCAGCAGCAGCCCCUCCCUCCCAGACCUUCCCACCUCCUGGACAGCAUCCAUUUUACAUUCAUUGUGAAGCUGCAUUCUUAGUGAGCUGUCCAGGAGGUGGGAGGGUCUGGGAGGGAGGGUCUGCUGCUGAUUGGCUGGAAUGUGUCUG
rnacentral:miRNA from 1 species